AGGACGUUUGUAUGACGGAAACACACAAUCCCGCACAGGCAGCCUAAGACCUCUGUCAUAAUUGGCCUUAGGAGCUGGGAACACAGAUACAUCAUUUCAGUGUUGGGUGGUAUGAGGCAGGAACAAAAGCUGGCAGAUGAAAGAAGCAAGCUCUUAACCACCACCAAGGCCUCUGAAGGAAGCAACUAUGAGGUGUUUUGAUGCUUCAUGAGCAAGGAAUGUUUCUGUUCCCGUGGGGCUCUGGGAUGCAGCAUAAAAGACCAUGCUGCUGCAGGCUCUGCAUCCACUUCUCUUCUCUCUCCCUUUCCCUGAGGAACGAGCUUCGCCUCCCUCGACGAGAGAUGUCUUGCUGCAGACCCUGUGUCCCAUCCUCCUGCGGUGCCUCUGGCCCAACCCCACUUGCCAGCAGCUGCAGUGAGCCGUGUGUCGCCCGGUGCGCUGACUCGACGGUUGCCAUCCAGCCCUCCCCAGUCGUGGUGACCCUGCCGGGCCCCAUCCUCACCUCCUUCCCUCAGAACACCGCCGUGGGAUCCUCUCUGUCAGCUGCUGUUGGCAGCUCCCUCAGCAGUGGGGGGGUUCCCAUCUCUUCUGGGGGCUCCCUUGGUCUGGGGGGGUCAGGGCUGUGUCUGCCUUCCCCACUCUGCCGCUUCAACUGCUGAAGCGCGUGGAUCAUCCCAUUUGGGGGAGACAUCCCUGAGAUGGAUGGGCCGUUCUCUCUGCCUCCCUGAACCCUGCAAACUUUCUUCUUGGUCUCUGUACUGCUCUACUGCCUUUCCUCGUUCUCAUUAAAGACCUUGUGCAGCACA